CAAACAAGAGAAAACGUAUCUCAAACCCCAUUGCACACCGUUUCCAGGAAACGUGUUGUUCAACCCCGAAACCGUAGCAAAAUGUUGCGCACCGGUUUGACCUUGAACGUGCCCCAGGCGUCUAUGGUGGUUUUUGCAGUCCAU